GUUUGAGAUAAUUUCUUGAUAAGAGAAAUGAUGGGUACUUUUGAAAUCUUGAAAUCCCCAUUAAGCCAAAGAGAGAUAGUCUAACAUUGUUUAGUAUAAGAAGAUAAAAAAGAGGGAGGAACAAAACCUGCCAUAGAGUGGGAAAGCAACUAUAUGCUGUCAGCUCGGAGAAAAUUCCCCUGUUCAUAGUCAGAGUGUAGCCCGAGAACACUUUCUUCCUCACUUUCACAACCACUUUCUUCUUCCACACAUCUAACAACUUCCAGCACUAUUCUGAAAGGGGGGAAAGAUGUUCGUCAUUAUGCCAUUUUUAAUUAUUAUCCUGUCAUCAGACUACAGCAAAGGACAAUGCACCGGAGAAUUCUCCCACCAGAUGGCUGAACCCAAACAAAUGCAGUGUAGCUUUAAUGGUAUGUACCCAGAAGGCAUGAUAAACUGGUUUCAUUAUGACAAGAACCUGACUUCCAGCUCUACAGUCACAAGCCUGGUGAACUCUGAUGGAACGUUCAACAUCACAAGUGUCCUAAACAUCCAGGACGAUCAAGAGAGAUAUAAAUGCUCACUGUGGUCACUCAAACACGGACAGUACCAUAAAGAUCAAGAGUUUGAAGUCCCAGUUCAUGCUGAUUCCAGGCCCAUUAGCAGGAUCAGCACACAACAUUGUUUAUCAUGGACUCUUAUCCUUCUUAGCCUGAUGUUGUGUUUGAGAGCCUGUUUGUCUCUAUAAUCUGUACAUGCCAACUCAACCCAACUAUCACAAGACCUGAUGACAUAACCACAGAUCUGGUGGGUUUUAAUAAAUGGAAUUUGCCAAAUAAACUGACCAUCUAAUCAAUAUAGUGGUAGAAUAUUUGCCUGCCAUGUGCUAGAUCUGGAUCUAAUUAAAGACCAGGGAAUAUAAAUCUUGAGUUUUACCUGAAGACAUAGCCACAGGAUAUAGCAGUGAACUGACACCCACAGCUUCUCUUUUACUGAGUUAUGACUGGAUUCAUUUAAGAAAAUGCACUGACAUGAAAAACCCAAACUAUUUCAAACAGCAUUUUGCAAAUGUAUUUAUUCCCAUUCUUUAUGC
rnacentral:lncRNA from 1 species